rnacentral:rRNA from 1 species
UACGUAGGGAGCAAGCGUUGUCCGGAAUUAUUGGGCGUAAAGAGCUCGUAGGCGGUCUGUCACGUCGGCUGUGAAAUCCCGAGGCUCAACCUCGGGUCUGCAGUCGAUACGGGCAAACUAGAGUAUUGCAGGGGAGACUGGAAUUCCUGGUGUAGCGGUGAAAUGCGCAGAUAUCAGGAGGAACACCGGUGGCGAAGGCGGGUCUCUGGGCAAUAACUGACGCUGAGGAGCGAAAGCGUGGGGAGCGAACAGG